GAUGAACGCUGGCGGCGUGCCUAAUACAUGCAAGUCGAGCGAACAGACGAGGAGCUUGCUCCUCUGACGUUAGCGGCGGACGGGUGAGUAACACGUGGAUAACCUACCUAUAAGACUGGGAUAACUUCGGGAAACCGGAGCUAAUACCGGAUAAUAUAUUGAACCGCAUGGUUCAAUAGUGAAAGACGGUUUUGCUGUCACUUAUAGAUGGAUCCGCGCCGCAUUAGCUAGUUGGUAAGGUAACGGCUUACCAAGGCAACGAUGCGUAGCCGACCUGAGAGGGUGAUCGGCCACACUGGAACUGAGACACGGUCCAGACUCCUACGGGAGGCAGCAGUAGGGAAUCUUCCGCAAUGGGCGAAAGCUAGACGGAGCAACGCCGCGUGAGUGAUGAAGGUCUUCGGAUCGUAAAACUCUGUUAUUAGGGAAGAACAAAUGUGUAAGUAACUAUGCACGUCUUGACGGUACCUAAUCAGAAAGCCACGGCUAACUACGUG
rnacentral:rRNA from 1 species